UGGCCAUUUGAUUAAUUGUUCAGCAGUCUUAUGGCUUGGGGGUAGAAGCUGUUAAGGAGCCUUUUGGACCUCACACUGAUUAUUAGGUAUGUUAGAAAAUAUUUUUCAAGAAUAAUAGUGGACAUUCAGCAGUGUGUCUCCCUCAAGUCAGGUAAAGUAUAAAAAAAUAAUAAUAUUGUUUGUGUCCUUAUGUCUGCAGGUGUAGAUUUCAACUCUCGGUUCUCUUUUGUCCUCUUACCUGGCAGCUCGGAAAAGCCCUAGAAUGGUGACAGUUGGGUUAUUACACAUGAAGAUCAAAAGGUUCUGUAACAUCUACUGCAUUAAUUAACUGACUUUGUCUGUUAUCUGACCAGAACAUUUAAUCAGGUUCACAUUUAAUUUAAUAAAGCAAUUGCCCUUACUGGUGCUUCUGUCUCGCUCUUUCUCUCUGUGCAUCUUGCUGACUGUGCUCUGUGUCUUCAGACACAUAAUGAAAGAGCUUAUUGAGACAGAGAUGAUAUAUGUAGAGGAGCUGCUCUGUCUUGCUGGUAAGGUGUUUCAUUUGAAAGUUGCACAGACACACAAACCACCCCAACGGGUACAGCAUAAAAACCAAGUCUUCCCUAGGGUUAUAGAGCAGAGAUGGAUAACCCUGUCCUCUCUAACCUUCUGUCCUGCGCAGCAAGAAGGAGGUCCUCUUUGGAAAUAUGCCAGAGAUCUACAAAUUCCACAGCAGGCAAGGAUGUACACACAUACAUUCUCUCUCACACACACUGAACAACUGAUGAGCAGAAGCUCUGACUCAUUUUUUACAGAGUGAAUAGUGUAUUGAUUGAAGUUAAGCCUGCCAUGUCCGCCCCUCCUCUAUGCAGGACCUUCCUCCAGGACUUGGAGGAGUGCCUGGAAACUCCUGAGAGGGUUGGAGCCUGCUUUUUACAACAGUGGAGCAAGCUUGUGAUCACCCCUUUCUGACCCAGUGUCAGCAUGUGUUAUGUGGUCAUCAGUCAGAGACACCUGUAACCAUGCUUUUGAGAUUUCUGUCAUUUCAGAAAGAGAAGUUUCAGAUGUAUGAGCACUACUGUCAGAACAAGCCACACUGAGUUGCUAUGGAGACAGUGCUCUGCUUGGCCAUUCUUCCAGGUACUAUGGCUAAGUGCACUGCCAAGCUUUAUUGUUGACCUGAGAUGCACUUCUGCUUACCUUCUGCUCCAGUUUGACCAGCCCGCUGAGGUCUUUGUCCACAGCUCUGGGGAGAUCUACAUAGUGGACGGGGACAGAGGGAUGAACAACUGCCUCACCAAACUGUGGUUGAUGCACUCUAUUAUAGGCCGUGUUCCAGACGGACUACAUUGCAGACACAUGCCAGAUCUAAGAACGCCUGGAUUAGUGUUUAACAUAUCAGUUAACCAAAUCAUAUGAUAUAGCAAUCUGAUGCCUGACUGUUCAGUCUGACGUGGGCAUAGAACCAUUGGCUGAUGCAAUGCAAUGUAGUUGGCCAGGAACACGACCAUAAUCAUUCGGUAAGAGGUUAACGUGUAUAUUUAAAUAGAUUCAAAUGAGCCAAGCAAAGCACUUAUUGGACAAAUCAAAGAUGCCAUUUUCUCCCUAUACUGCUCAUUUUAAUAAUUAUUUACCCCAGGCUCACUAAGGCAUAAAGUCCUGUGUAUGUAACAUGCUACACCAAUCAGGAACUCUUAACCAGCUCUGUAUUUACUGUUUAGUUCUUAUGGAGGUCUAGAAAAGUAUUGCAUGUCCAACUAACCAAUCUCACUGGUCAUUUACUUUAGUGGCUUGACGUUAAACCUCAUGAUACUAACUGUAAGUCGCUCUGGAUAAGAGCGUCUGCUAAAUGACAAAUGUAAAAUGUAAAUAUCCUUUAAUCUAUUGAUAAAACGUUUAUUUUAUUUUUGAUUUGAAGUUAUAGUUUUGACGUCUUCUGGGUAGAUUUGAGACAUUUCAAUCUUUCUGUGGCGAUUUUAGCAUGUAAAUCUUGGUGGGGCUGACAAAAAAACAAAAAAGAAUGAAGCAUGCCAGCGAAGACACAACACAAACCAAUACAUUCAUUGCAAUAUAACGGUGACAAACGGUGCCCACAAACUGUCCCAAAAGCAGAGCUUUCUUUUCAGAACCAUGGAGUCCUUACCACUGCUACACCUGGAUCUACUAGCUUCCAUGUUAGGUGUUUGUUCUCUAUUGUGGUGUGAUCUGUCUGUCUGCAUGCUAGUAGUUUGGUUAAACUACCUGUAGUUUUAAAGUCCCUUUUAUCUGCCCUCUGCCCCCCUUUCCCUCUCCCCCUCUCUCUCCGAAGACAUUCCCCCUAUUCAACUCUCGGAGCAGACUCCUUUGUUUCCUCCCUCUACUGACAGAUGAUGCUUUUUGCAUGUCUUCUCAUGUCUCCAUGUUUUACAAUUUGCAUGGUGAACAAAGAGACAUUGUGAUUUCAUGGAAAUGUUAAAAAAUGUAAUCGGUCAUAGCAUGUGGGUUUGUUUGUGGAUUUCCAUCAUAGCUUGGUUUCAACUCAUCUCCAACCUACUGACUGUGAUGUCAGGAUUGUUUCUGUGGUGUGAUCUAGAGCAGGAUUAUUCAACUCUGACCCUACGAGGUCCGCAGCCUGCUGGUUUUCUGUUCUACCUGAUCAUUAAUUGCACCCACCUGGUGUCCCAGGUCUAAAUCAGUCCCUGAUGUGAGGGGAACAAUUAAACAAAGCAGUGGAACUGGCUUGGAGGUCCAGAGUUGAGUUUGAGGGGUCUAGAGGAUAAGGUGCCUAGGGCCAAGCCUGUGACCAUGUGGAUAUUGUGUUUCUACCCCAUUCCUUUGCGAUUUGGGACAGUCUGUCUCGUACGACAGUGUGCAUGCCGUGGAGUCCCUGGCAGAUCGCUGGCUGCUCAGGUUGUUUUGAUGUCCUUCCUCACAGUAAGAUCCCAGACCAGUCCCUCAGCACGGAGGAGGCCGCAUCGUCAGGCCGCACUAGCCCCGUGGUCUUCUCCCCGUAGCCCCAGCACAAUAACCGACGCAGUGAGUCAGCGUGGGAAACGGCUGCAAUUUUGUCACACCAACUCACUUUAGUAGUAGAGCAGACUCCAUGUCUAUUAGAUGGGCCUGUCAGUGAGGUUUUCCCACUGGAAAGUCCAGCAUGUAACAGUGGAAUUUUGUUUGUGUAUUCAGUGGAAAGGUAUUCUACAUGAAGGGUUUUGAAAGUGCCUAACAUAAGUGACAUUUAGGUGUAUAGUAAGUAAUGAGGCCUUUGACUUGAGGGUGGUUGUAUUUGAGAGGUUCUGUCUGUCAAACGUAGGUUGUGCUGGCACCUCCAACUCAGUGGACAUUUUUGAGGGGUCCGGAGGACUGCAGCAUGACUGACCUGUCAGACGCUGACGAGGAUGACCACACUACUCCACUGGUUCCUGGGAGGUACAGGGCCCUGGUGGAAAGUAGUGUGUGUGUAGUACAGAUGACCUCAUCAUUAAGUGUGGUGAUGUCAUCUAGCUGCUGCAUCAGGACACUGUAGGGAGGUGGUAAGGCACAGUAAUAUCACUACCACUCUUGCUGUUGUUACUACUCUAGUACUCCUGGUUCUCUCUCUGUCAGGCUUGUGAGGAAUGUCAGUCGUUGUGAUGAGGGGCGCUCAUGCAGGAUAGGAGGUGAGGGGUUCCCAAUGGACCACUAGUAGAGAUCACUGUUCUUGUCGUUAUAUUAGCAUGGAUGAAUGUCCUCAUACCUGCGCAUUAAUCUUACUACCUAUAUGUUUCGUUUACUCUUCCAGGGAAUGAGAACCAGGAAGCUCAGCUCUCUGAGUGAACCAUGUGCCAUCCAUCCUCAGUCUGGACACAAAGACACAACUCCUGUCAUCACAACUGUCGUCGUGCUGCUAUCAUUCCCAUCCAAGGUCAUGUUGCCUGGAGUCUCUAGAGGCCUUCAACAUGCUGCCGGAGACAGACCAGUUAUCAAUCAAACCACAGGAUCUGAAGGAGGGUGCAAGUGUUGCCCUGCAAUGUUAGGGUAAAAUCCCUACCCACAUCAAGCAAACAGACAACCUCAAGCACAAGGUAAUGGACCAAAUCUACCCUUCAACCCCAGGCGACAUCCCACAAAGAACUGCUGUUCAAACCCAGGCAGCAUCACAACAUCACCUCAAAUAACUGCUCUUCAACCCCAGGCAGCAUCACAGCAAAGAACUGCUCUUCAACCCCAGGCAGCAUCACCUCAAAGAACUGCUCUUCAACCCCAGGCAGCAUCACCUCAAAGAACUGCUCUUCAACCCCAGGCAGCAUCACAGCAUCACCUCAAAGAACUGCAAAUCAUCAUAGCCAUAGGAUCUCCAUGUGGAUGAGAUGCAUGAACUGUUUCAGAUCCACUAUGAAUAUUUACUAAGGAAGGGACUGUUUUACUUCUGUUACAGUACAAGUCAAUCAAUCUCAAUUUUUUAAACUUUUGUGUAUAGCCAUCAUGGUUUGAGAGAGAGGCCAUAUCAGAUUUCAACAUACUGUAUCAUCAGUACCAGGUUAUGUGCCAAAACAUGCUACUGUCCAUUUUCCCUGUGCGCUUUAUUUGUUACAACCUCAUUUUGUACAACUCCCAUUAUCCACAAUUACUAUGGUAAAUUGGCUGGCUUCCAGUUGAAGCUCGCAUCUGCUACAAGACCAUGGUGCUUGCCUACGGAGCUGUGAGGGGA